CUCCAGAUGCGAUUGUAGAUUCGGGGGAACAGGAAGGGUAAUCGAGCAACAAGACUCUCUACCUCGUGCAGUUUGUGUGCUGGUGGUCAAAGCUUGUUUGUUCAGAGACGCAAUACAGUUUUCGUAUUUGUUCAGCUCAGUUUCGUGUUGAUGGUCAAAGUGUUUACUUCCGAGAAGCAGUGCAUUUUAUUUAUUAUUCAACUGAGUUUCGUAUAGGUGCAUACAGUUGUUUGUUGCGAAAAACAAUAACAAAAUUUAUUUAUCGACUCAAACAUCGUGUUGUUGGUCAAAGUUGUCAAUUCAAAGAGAGAAGACUUUAUUUUAUUCAAUUGAUUUUUGUGUUGGCGCAUAAAGGUGUAGAAAUUCAUUUUUAUUGUUUCAACUUUCUUUCGUGUUGAAUACUGCUGUUUAUUCCGAGGCGUCAUAUUAUUUGUUUUAAUUAUCCAUCUCAAAUUCUGUACUAGUGGACUAAGUUGGUUCUCUUCAAACACAAUAUAUCUUAUUAUUCAUCUCACAGCUUUGUGUUGUUCGAGACAACGAUUCCAAUAUUCCUUAACCCAACACUUGUCUUUUGUCCUUGGACAUAGCUGCUUCUUUCCAAGACUAAACAUAGUCUACUUACUCGUCGUUCUUUAGUGUUAUUGGACAUAAGAUAUUUCUGGAGAGAAGCAUCAUUCUCAAUUUACAUGCAUUCACAAUACGCCUAUCUAUUCUUCAACACGUUUGUGUCUUCUCUGUGCGUAGUUUAAAAAUAACUGCUUAAUACGAUUGAGGUGUGAGGAAUUAUCUGGGUUCACAAACUUUGGUGCUAGUGGUUCGUGGAGUAAAUACACUUCCAGUUGAGGUAUUUAUCUCUCAAUGCGUGUUACCUAUACACUGUCCAAAUGCCGACCGGAGAUGUAAUGGAUGAUACAGAUUUGAUAGCUAAGAUCGGGAGGAAAAGGUAUCGUCGCCGUUUGGAGCGAGAACGGUAUUACACCCAGGGUAUCGAACUACCUAGGGAGAAGCUGAGGGAGAGCAUGACGACAACGCAGGCUCCCGCCCCUACCACCCAGGGCGGGAAAUUGGCCCAAGAGAUUCACGACGAGUUCCUGACGUGCAAGAUCUGCCUGGAGGGCUUCAAGUCCCCGAAAUGCCUCGACUGUCUGCACACGUUCUGCGAGCAGUGCAUCGACAACCACGUCAUGUCGGAGUGCACCUACAAGAAGUACAGCGACUACCGGGAAUUCACCUGCCCACUCUGCCGGAAGCGCACAGCCCUGCCGAUAGGCGGCGUUAAGAAACUACCAGACAACUUCCUGGUCUCCAGUCUCGGAGAGCUCGUAGCUCGACAGCGCCCUUCCAAGUUCCCCUUCUGCGAUAUAUGCAAGCUGGUUAACCGAAAACACAGAGAAGCGUCGUCGAAAUGUCUCGACUGCAACAAACUGCUGUGCAAGCAGUGUGUCGACAUGCACAGGGAAACGAAAGUGACGAAGAAUCACAGCCUGUUCGACUGCGAGAUCGAGAAGGACAUAGAGUGUAAAGAGCACAAGGAAGAAGUCGUCCGGUUCUACUGCGAGCCGUGCGAGUCGUGCAUCUGCGUCCUCUGUACCUUCAACGAGCACAAAGAUCACGAGAUCACCCAGUUCUCGGACGCCGUCGUCAAGUACAAGGAAUGCAUCCAGACCCUGCUGGACAGCUGCAAGGACAGGAUCAACAUCUACGACUCGCAGCUCGGGCUGCUGGGAAAAUGCGAAGCGACCAUCAAAGCCUCGGAGCAGAACAUCCGAGACGUCGCUAUCCAGUUCAUCAGCGAAAUACGCAACAGGGAGAAGCAGUUGAUAGACAAUCUGCACGAGAUCUACGGGAAGGAGUUGAUGGAGUACGUUUCGAGGAGGUCAGAGAUGCAGAUUAAUCUGGACAGUCUGAAAAGCACGUGCAGCCUCACGGAGCUGGUUCUCAAGGGAAAAGAUAUCGAACUGCUUCUUCUGAAGAAACAAGUUUCGGAAAAGUUAUCGCAUCUUUCGGACAUUGAAAUAACGAAUCUGCCGUCUACCGUUAACAAGACAAUAACCUUUGCUCCUGGAUCUCUCGAUCUAGGCUGUCUAGAGGAUGCAGAUAACAUCACGAAAGUGGAAGCAAAGAAGGAACCGGAAAUCAAAGUCUGCUCAAUGGAAACGCAGACGGAUGGUCUUUCCAAGAUCAACCGGUCUGUCCAGACGGAACGGAAGCAGACGCCGGAACGGAAGCAGACGCCGGAACGGAAGAAGACGCCGGAACCGGACGCCUCUCAGGUAACUGUGAAGAUCGUCAACGACGAGAAGGCCGUUGUGACUGAUUCCAACGACACCAGUGAUAAGUCCGUGAAUAUGAGGCCGCGCGGUAUGCAGCUGCAGAGUCAGUCGUCCAAGGAGGAGACGCCCGAGACGUCGGUCCCGGAACCCAUGUCGUCGCCAGUGCCGCGACGUCAUCGACGGCGACGCGAGAGGAUAAAGCCCGUUGAGGAUAGCGAUGAACUUGAAAGUGAGACCCACACUCCCAAAUCUGCCUGUUCAUAGCCUCGCUGGUGCUCGAGAAUCGAGCGAGCGCUCUCGCGGCGCCUUUCCAUUUCAGCAUAGUUAUGACUGGGUCCGAUAACUUUUAAAUGGAAAGGGCAGACAACUCGUGCAUCAAGACUUUCCUGGAAAUUGCUGUCUCUGAAUGGAAUUUGCUGAACUGCUAUCCUGUUUUAACACAAGAACAUUUUUCAAGCAUUCUUGAACUUUAUAUAUAUAUGUUAAUCAAUAUCAUUUUCGAGAACUCUGUAAUCUCACAGACACUUAACGUUUAGAAAUGGCUACGCAAUGCAAAUCGUACUAAAACAAUGUUGAUUUUACCGGGUUUUUUCUGUUGGGACAGUCUUUCCUUUCGGAGGGAAAACCGUUGUUUGUAAAAUAUUUUUCUAUAGUAUUUUGUUCUCUCAUAAUAAUAAUAAUAAUAAUAAUAAUAUUACAAUAUGUAUUAUUACCUCUCAUAUUUUAUCAUGUUUUUGCUUCUUUCACACAUGUCGCUCAGUGUACCUACAAAUGCAGACUUUUGCUAUUUCUUAGAGUGAAAUUUCAGAUUGCCCGCAUUUACAGACUUUGCUCUUUCUUAGAAUGAAUUCGUAAUUUUGGCAGUUUUGCAUACUUUUCUUUUUCUUAAAGAAUGAAAUACCAUUUUGACUACAGUUGCAGACUUUUCUAUUCAGUAAUAGUGAACUGUAAAUUUGUCGAGAUUAGCAGACUUUGACUUUUCUUAAAAGUCAACGUUCAUUUGCCCACAUUUUCUGGCAUUGUCUAUUGUCACUUUGUCCACAUUUGCUUUUCUUUUUCUUAAAUAUAGUUAUUAUUAUCAUCAUAUUUCAUAGUGUACAAACCCAUUUAUCAUUUAUGUAUUUCUUAGAAUUUCCUUCUUUAUCUUGAUUUUUCCUUUUUAUUCUCUGCUUGAUUAUGUUCACACUAUUUAGCAUGUUUAGUCAUCGGCACACAAAGCAUUAAUGAUAUAUGUAUGCAGACAUUAUUAAAUUAUCCAUGGGCACACGGUGCAAUCAUGUAUUACCGUUAAUAUCACUGAUAAAAUAGACUUAAUAUCUG